rnacentral:lncRNA from 1 species
AAAUCUUCUCUCCCUUCUUUGUUUCUUUCUUCCCGUGGGAUUUGGCCUGUGAGAGCUUGGGACCAGCCGGCUCCCUCCUUCCGAAUGCCCUCAUCUUCAUGCAUUGCUUCCCUUUUAUAGCCUUCACCCGCCCCCCUUUGGAAUCAAUCUGGAACCUUGGUGGACAGCUGGAUGCGGGAAGAUGAACUCUAUCUUUGAAGCAGGGGAUAAGGAUGAAAGCGGCUGGAUGGAGAUGGGAUUUGUUGGCCGCGGAAGAUCCGGACGCGGUAGAAGUUAGAGCUGGAUCCGAAGACUCUAGGAGAUACUCACGGACGCUGCGAUGAACUUGGAAGGGAGUGAUCCACGAAGUGGAAAGAUGCCUGUGUUCUGUUUCCGAAACAGGGGAAGACACAUUUGGUUGCCGUGAAGCUCGGGACUCGGGAGGAUGAAGUCUGGGAAUCCGCUGAAACGAGAUCCUUUGAUGAUCACGAGAUGGGAAGAGAUCUUUGGGUGAUGCAGAUGAAAUAUGGGAGGUAAAUCAGUUCGGAGUUUAUCCAUGGAUAUACUGGGAUUAAUCCGGACGAUGGCUG